CAUUAUCAUACUUCCUUAAAGAAUGUCCUUAUAUAGUAAAAUUGCUCUUUUUUGCAGUUUUAAAGGAAAUAUAUAGCGUUAUCUUUGCGAAAAUAGUAGGCCUUGCUGUUGCAACAAACUAUUGAUUUUUACGUCCAUAAUUUUCAAUUUCACGUGCAAAGGCGGAGCUUAAUUGCUGGGUUGGAUUUAUAAGCCUGACAUUAACUGACUAUUACAAUUGAAUAAAUGGGAAAAUAGGUAUAAUGAAAUGUUUCUUGUAUUUUAAGAGACUUUAGAAUACUUUAGUUUCUGUUAGAACGUUUUUGUUCUUUGUUUACUUCUGCUUACUGCCGUAGAAGCCAAACAUGUUUGAAUUCUUUAAUUAGAAGUCAUUUGUUACAGAUGAAUAAGUAUUAAGAACUGUGAAAAAUG
rnacentral:lncRNA from 1 species